AGAGAGGAGAGAGACAAAAGACAGGCAGAGUUAUUUUAGGUCUUGAUCUUAUAUCCUUUAGGAAUUGGUCGACAUUAUGAAAAACACACUUGUUCACUUCCAUGCCAAGAGCUUGGAAAAUAAGAUUGGUCACAGUCUCGUCUUAGCCAAGUAACAGCCAGAGGUACAUGAAGAUCUUUCUGUAUUUGGUAACAAUAAAAACAAUACAAUGAUGGUUUAAGGGUGAUUUCAUGCAAGUAGUCUCUCUUUUAUAUGUCUCAGAUUUUUCCUCCGUCUGGAUUAUGAGUAAGUAAGACUUUAUUUAU